AUUGAACGCUGGCGGCAGGCCUAACACAUGCAAGUCGAGCGAGCGGCGGACGGGUGAGUAAUGUAUGGGGAUCUGCCCGAUAGAGGGGGAUAACUACUGGAAACGGUAGCUAAUACCGCAUACUAUCGGAUGAACCCAUAUGGGAUUAGCUAGUAGGUGAGGUAAUGGCUCACCUAGGCGACGAUCCCUAGCUGGUCUGAGAGGAUGACCAGCCACACUGGAACUGAGACACGGUCCAGACUCCUACGGGAGGCAGCAGUGGGGAAUAUUGCACAAUGGGCGCAAGCCUGAUGCAGCCAUGCCGCGUGUAUGAAGAAGGCCUUCGGGUUGUAAAGUACUUUCAGCGGGGAGGCGUUACCCGCAGAAGAAGCACCGGCUAACUCCGUGCCAGCAGCCGCGGUAAUAC
rnacentral:rRNA from 1 species